GGGCUGGUCAGCUCAGUCGGUUGAGCAUGGUGCUGAUAACACCAAGGUCACGGGUUCUAUCCCUGUUUGGUCCC
rnacentral:tRNA from 1 species